rnacentral:lncRNA from 1 species
CAAGGCACAGCCAGCAUUUCCAGAAUCUGCAAGAUAAAUGAAUCACUAAGAUGGGUCCUGCAGAUGCUCUGUGCACUCUGAACACAGGUUGCAAUAGUUCCCUACCUAGGGAACACUCAGGGAUGGAGGUGACCUUUACAAACUGAAGUCUUGAUGGGCAGACCACAGUGAGGGAAUUGCACCGAAGAAGCCAACUUCAGCCGGAGCCAGCCAAGACCAAGGCUCUCCAGACUGUCAUCGAAAUGAAGGGAAACUGAGGGUGAAGUUCUGAACUCCAUUUGUUUCCACAACAUUUGCAUCAGCUCUGCAACGGGGCUUCCUGCAAGGGUCUGCAGAAUCCUGCUUCUCUCAAGCUUUGUGUGAGCUUCAACCCACUGCUCUCUGGGAACUCUGUGUGCCCUACAGACUUGCUGAUCUGUGUGGAAGUCUCUGCAGGUCCUGGAGAAGGGACCUGUAUCCCGAUAGGGGAUGGCCCUCUCCAGACACACCUUCCAGCACCUAGUUGAUCCUGGGCUAAAGUCUGCUGAGUAAAAGGAAGAGAAGAGAAUGAUGUCACUGACGAUCUAUCUUUUUGCAGGAAUCUCCAUGGUUUAAAAUUGGCCCUGAUUUGAUCUGGCAGGUACGCCCCACAUCUGUAUGUGGGAAACUGUGUGCACUUCUCUGAGAAAUUCCUUUCUCGUGGAGCCCCUUUGCUGAUUCUAUGGCCAAAGAGGCUUUCUCCACUCCUUUCCCCUCUGCUGGAGAGCAGCCUGUGAGGACAGCUCAAAAGCCACGCUUUCAUUUUCCCUAUUUAAUGCUAAUGCCUUUGAAAGAAUGUAUUCUUAACCUGACUUCAGUAUAUCUGACACAAUAUGAGCAUGUUGCCCAAAGCUUUCACUUUAUUGAGUUCAUUGAUAAACUUUAUCCAAUUUAAGUAGGAAGAAAAUGAAUUAUGUGAAUGGCAAUACUUGUUAGCUCUUUGCAAAACAUUUUUGUUGUUGUUGUUGUUAGAACUUUUAAGCCAAUGGGAAUCUAAUUCAGAGUUGCUGAAAUCAAAAGGAAGUUUAUUGGCAUUUUAAACUGGAAAACAAAGUAAACCAAUAAAACUAAUAAAGCAAU